GCUCGGCGGCCGCCGUCCCUCCCGCCUCAAGAUGGCGGCGGACAGGCUGCUCCCCCACCGCCCGUGGCCCGCGCUGCCAUUUUCGAGGGGGGAGGAGGAGGAGGAGUGGGUCGCCGGCGACAAGUGGCGAUGGAAAGGGAAGCGCUGCCGCCGCUAUGCUUGUCGUUUUUCCUGUCCCACCGUCUCGCCGGUGGCCUCGUGUCAACCCUGCCGACCCCGAACUUGUGCGGGGCCCGAGCCAAGGCCCCGGAGUGCCCGGUGGCCGCUCUCAGCCCACGUGGCUUUCUGGCCGAGUGGGUGCGUUGGGCCCUUGUCCCAGCUGGCGCACCGACUCACAGAAUCCAUUAGGUUGGAAAAGACCUCUGAGGUCGCCGAUUCUAAUCCGUGACCAAACACCACUAUGUCACCUAGACACUGCACUGAGUGCCACGUCCAGUCUUUCCUUAAACACUUCCAGGGAGGUUAGCACUAAAUGAGGUUACGGGAUGCUCUCCUGACAGGCUGUGUCUGUUCCUUCCAGGUGUAUAGAGAGUCACAGGGUUGGAAGGGACCUCUGGAGAUCAUCUAGUCCAACCCUACCCCCGCCCCGUGCCAAGGCAGGGUCAUCCAGAGCUGGUUGCACGGGAACGUGUCCACGUGGGUUUUGAAUGUCUUCCGAGAGGGGAUAUCCAGGACCUCGGUGGGCGGCCUGUCCCAGUGCUUGCCAAACUCAGGAAGUUCCUUCAGUGGGUUGUUUGCAUUUCCAAAUGGUUUUCAGAUACAUUCUGCCAUUUGUUGCAUUUCUGAAACGUACCACAAGUCAUUCCUGCCACAGAACACAGUAGCUAUCUGUCUUAUGAAGCAGUACGAAGACAAUCCAAAGUACUAAGGAAAAGUGUGUAAGAGCAAUCCAACUGAUUCAGACCAUGGAUAUACUUACUGGACAAAGUAGUGGGGAACAGUAAGAUCUAUAUUGUGCAAGUUGCUUACUGCCAAAUUCAGUGUCUAUUGAGAUACAACGAUACCAUCCAAAAGAAUACAAAGACAGUUUUUGAGGACAGGAGGACAGAAACAUGAUGAAGUGUGAAGAUUUUUCCAGUAUCACACACUGGACCAACAGAUCAAAAAAUUUGCAUCCUCAUAUUCUGCAUCUUGGAAACUCCAUCCUGACCUUUCCUGUUUGUCUGGGCCAGAAGCAAUGCCGCACCCGCUGCCUGGCAGGUGUUCAAAUAUUUAUCUUCACAACCUAGAGCAUAUUAGUCCUCAAAGGUCUUUCAAAGGAUUUUUCAAGAAACAGCAAACUUCUUUCAGAACAAAUGAUCACGCUGACUGCUAUUCAAGUGUAUAAUGUUGCAUCAUCUUCAACACAGCAUUACGCCUAGAUGCCCAAAUUCUUGCCAUAACAAACUCUUGUAUGUUUGAAUGAACUUCCUGAAUGAAAUCUGAGGCAGAGAAGACGAUCAUGAGGGUGGGAUCCCUCCCUGUCCUGCUGGCAGCACUCCCAGUCUCCCCCCCCAGAGCAUCUCUGCCUUUUGGCCACAGGACACACCACCAGUGACAUUUGUAUGUUCAUGUCCCCAGGACCUCCAGACUCUUCCCUGCCAAUGGAGAUGGAUCCCACAGGAAUGCUGUGCAGAGGCCUCACUGGCAGUGGGAACUCUGCCAGCAGGGCUGAGGACCCAUGUGGGAUGUGGGAUAAGAGUUUGUGGGGCUGCCCCAGCAAAAGGGGAUUGUGUGGAGCUCGUGGAAAUGUUCAAAUAUGGUGCUGGUGUAUCUGGGAAGAGGACUGAAAGUGGGGGACUGGGAUGGGCCCAGUAAGACUCAGAGAUAGAGAGGGGUGGGAAACCCACGUUUUGGCCCCUGGCACAGAUGUGCUUUGCUUGCAUGUCAGUCUGCUUCUUGGGUGGCUCCCGAAGUUCUGGGAUGCUUGGAGUUUAGAGCUUUGCUCUGCAAA